rnacentral:rRNA from 1 species
AUAAAUGACAUUGUCAUCUCACAACACCAAGACUGGUUGCCCACUGAAGCUAAGCAGGGUUGAGCCUGGUCAGUACCUGGAUGGGAGACCUCCUGGGAAAACUAGGUUGCUGUUGGAA